GUGCACCGCUUCUAAUAUAACAGGCUCUUGUCUCUUCGUGGAUGGACUUUUUUUGUUGUCUUUUUUUACUCUUGAUUCAUUAUGUGAAAGAAUUGUCACGUAACAAAGUUUCGGAAGAUUUAGAUCAGAGGAGGAUGUGACAAUAGUUUAGUAUGCUUGAGAAUUGACUAUUUUACUGCAUUUGUAUGUCUGCCUCAUACUUUUAUCAGCAUAUGUAUGCCUUAGAAAGUGUUACUGUAGAUCCCUG
rnacentral:lncRNA from 1 species